rnacentral:lncRNA from 1 species
AUCCCCUGUGUAUACCGCAAGUAAGUAACUUACUGUAAUUAUGUUAAGAAAUUAGAAUGUUUGUGACCGACUGUUUAAUAAGAUGCUCUUUUCACAAGGUGUGAUAUUGUGGCAUAUUUACCCUGGAGCUAGCAUAUAUAUGGAGCUGACUUUGUUCCUGGAGGUGAGCAUAUAUUGUUGAUCUUCUCAUGUCAAUUGCAGCAGUUCCUUGAUUCACAAUUUAUAUAGUGUGGUAUAGUGGUUAUAUUUGGAGGUUUAUCCCUGUGAAAUAAUCACCGCUGCAGCUAAUGUGUUAUGCAUAAGCUCAGUGUGUUUGCUCAAUUAGCUACUGCUCAAUUAAAAUUGGUGACCUUCCAUUGAUGAUUGGUUUAGAAAUUAUGCAUUGAGUAACUGGACCUGACCUGGAGUACUUGGUUAAUUCAGUGAUCUUUUAACAAAAUUUUAACUGAAUUAUUUUGGGCAAUGGAGUACUGAAUUUUAACUGAGUAACUUGCACUUGCAUAUGCACUAGACCACUUGUAAAUUCUUUGGCUCCUCUUUAAUCUGGUGCAAUUACUUAACUGACCGUAAUAGCCCUGACACUUUUAAGUAACCAUAUCAUUCAAACAUCCAACUAAAUCUAUUCUACUCCAUUUCCUGAGAUGAAAUUGUGAUGAUGGGAGUGACAUUAAACAGCCUUAACAUCUAAUUGUGCAUGUACUCCAUUGUUAUAUACUGAUCCAUCUUGUCUUUGCCCCAUGUUAACAUUCAAAUUGUUAAUUGCAUUCAAAGUGUUAAUUGCAGGAGCAGACACAAAGGAGGAAUCUGCUACCUCAAAGUAGUUGAUCGACGCCGGGAGGGUGGGUGAGGCUGCCAGGAGGGUGGUGACGAGCUACCGAAGAGAUGAGUUCUGGCUCUCCUCGAUGCCAGGACGAGGCGCUGCUGCCGAUCGGACGUGGACUCGAUUGAUUUUGAUUUGAAAUAUGACGGGGUGUAAUGUAAAAUGCACUUUAGUUCAAAAUUUCCUCCCCUUGCGAGAGGUAUUCUUGGAUGGAGGGAGUAGAAGAUUAGUUAUAGGAUUUUGUUUUAUUUCUGUGCAAUUUUCUUUUUAUUGGAUACUUGUAAAGACAUGGUAAUAUUCUUGCUAUAAUAAAAAUUAUGGUUCUAUU